rnacentral:rRNA from 1 species
AGUGAACGCUGGCGGUAGGCCUAACACAUGCAAGUCGAACGGCAGCACAGUAAGAGCUUGCUCUUACGGGUGGCGAGUGGCGGACGGGUGAGGAAUACAUCGGAAUCUACUUUUUCGUGGGGGAUAACGUAGGGAAACUUACGCUAAUACCGCAUACGACCUACGGGUGAAAGCAGGGGAUCUUCGGACCUUGCGCGAUUGAAUGAGCCGCUGUCGGAUUAGCUAGUUGGCGGGGUAAAGACCCACCAAGGCGACGAUCCGUAGCUGGUCUGAGAGGAUGGUCGGCCACACUGGAACUGAGACACGGUCCAGACUCCUACGGGAGGCAGCAGUGGGGAAUAUUGGACAAUGGGCGCAAGCCUGAUCCAGCCAUACCGCGUGGGUGAAGAAGGCCUUCGGGUUGUAAAGCCCUUUUGUUGGGAAAGAAAAGCAGCAGGUUAAUACCCCGCUGUUCUGACGGUACCCAAAGAAUAAGCACCGGCUAACUUCGUG